GGAANGCGNCUGCNGGUCGACGAUUCCUACGGGAGGCAGCAGCAGGGAAUAUUGCACAAUGGGCGAAAGCCUGAUGCAGCAACGCCGCGUGGGGGAUGAAGGCCUUCGGGUUGUAAACCCCUUUCAGGAGGGAAGAAAUUGACGGUACCUCCAAAAGAAGCCCCGGCCAACUACGUGCCAGCAGCCGCGGUAAUACGUAGGGGGCGAGCGUUGUCCGGAAUCAUUGGGCGUAAAGAGCUCGUAGGCGGCUCAGUAAGUCGGCUGUGAAAUCCCAGGGCUCAACCCUGGAACUGCAGUCGAUACUGCUGUGGCUAGAGUUUGGUAGAGGAGAAUGGAAUUCCCGGUGUAGCGGUGGAAUGCGCAGAUAUCGGGAGGAACACCAGUAGCGAAGGCGGUUCUCUGGGCCAAUACUGACGCUGAGGAGCGAAAGCGUGGGGAGCAAACAGGAUUAGAUACCCUGGUAGUCCACGCCGUAAACGUUGGGUACUAGGUGUGGCGUUCCGAUCAACGAAUGCCGUGCCGAAGCUAACGCAUUAAGUACCCCGCCUGGGAAGUACGGCCGCAAGGCUAAAACUCAAAGGAAUUGACGG
rnacentral:rRNA from 1 species